GGCAAACUAAAGACAGUUUGGAUAGCGCUUAUUGCUGUAGCCGGUGCCGGAGUAUGCUUUUUGGUGCUUCUUUUUCUGUUGAACAAAUUUUGCACAACUGUUCCUGUAAGCAGAAGACCUUGGCCAAUAAAUUUUAGUUACGGAGACCUUGCCGACGCUACCAAUAACUUUGCAGAUGAUAGGAAGUUAGGCAAAGGUUUAUCUGGAACUGUUUUCGAAGGAUUUUUGAGAGAUCUAGG
rnacentral:misc_RNA from 1 species